CCUACGGGUGGCAGCAGUGAGGAAUAUUGGUCAAUGGACGAGAGUCUGAACCAGCCAAGUAGCGUGAAGGAUGACUGCCCUAUGGGUUGUAAACUUCUUUUAUAAAGGAAUAAAACGAGGCACGUGUGCCCUUGUGCAUGUACUUGAUGAAUAAGGAUCGGCUAACUCCGUGCCAGCAGCCGCGGUAAUACGGAGGAUCCGAGCGUUAUCCGGAUUUAUUGGGUUUAAAGGGAGCGUAGACGGGUUGUUAAGUCAGUUGUUAAAGUUUGCGGCUCAACCGUAAAAUUGCAAUUGAUACUGGCAGUCUUGAGUACAGUUGAGGUAGGCGGAAUUCGUGGUGUAGCGGUGAAAUGCUUAGAUAUCACGAAGAACCCCGAUUGCGAAGGCAGCUUACUAGACUGUGACUGACAUUGAUGCUCGAAAGUGUGGGUAUCAAACAGGAUUAGAUACCCUUGUAGUC
rnacentral:rRNA from 1 species